GCUGGAUUAGCUCAAUUGGUAGAGCAGCUGACUUGUAAUCAGCAGGUUGAGGGUUCAAUUCCUUUAUCCAGCU
rnacentral:tRNA from 5 species